AACGAACGCUGGCGGCAGGCUUAACACAUGCAAGUCGAGCGCCCCGCAAGGGGAGCGGCAGACGGGUGAGUAACGCGUGGGAAUCUACCCAUCUCUACGGAAUAACGCAUGGAAACGUGUGCUAAUACCGUAUACGUCCUUCGGGAGAAAGAUUUAUCGGAGAUGGAUGAGCCCGCGUUGGAUUAGCUAGUUGGUGGGGUAAAGGCCUACCAAGGCGACGAUCCAGAGCUGGUCUGAGAGGAUGAUCAGCCACACUGGGACUGAGACACGGCCCAGACUCCUACGGGAGGCGGCAGUGGGGAAUAUUGGACAAUGGGCGCAAGCCUGAUCCAGCCAGGCCGCGUGAGUGAUGAAGGCCCUAGGGUUGUAAAGCUCUUUCGCCGGUGAAGAUAAUGACGGUAACCGGAGAAGAAGCCCCGGCUAACUUCGUGCCAGCAGCCGCGGUAAUAC
rnacentral:rRNA from 1 species